rnacentral:rRNA from 1 species
AAAUUGAAGAGUUUGAUCAUGGCUCAGAUUGAACGCUGGCGGCAGGCUUAACACAUGCAAGUCGAACGGUAGCAGGAAGAAGCUUGCUUCUUUGCUGACGAGUGGCGGACGGGUGAGUAAUGCUUGGGAAUCUGGCUUAUGGAGGGGG